rnacentral:rRNA from 1 species
UACGUAGGGUGCAAGCGUUAAUCGGAAUUACUGGGCGUAAAGCGUGCGCAGGCGGUUAUGUAAGACAGAUGUGAAAUCCCCAGGCUCAACCUGGGAACUGCGUCCGAUACUGGAUGGCUUGAAUUCGGGAGAGGGAUGCAGAAUUCCAGGUGUAGCGGUGAAAUGCGUAGAUAUCUGGAGGAAUACCGGUGGCGAAGGCGGCAUCCUGGACCGACAUUGACGCUGAUGAGCGAAAGCUAGGGGAGCAAACGGG